UUGCAGCAGAGGAGCAGAGACCUGGACCUCAGUUACAGGAAGGUCACUAAGCCUCGGGGCCCCAACGCACUCAGUAUCCUCCAGAAGCCUGCAACCAUCCCAGACCAGAAAGGAGCUCCAUGCCGCAAACAACUUCACCUCCAGCCUUACAUUGGAAAAUCCUCCUCCACUCCCAGGGGGGCAAGAAGGCUGAGACUGGCACCCUCCUUACAGGGCACGGUCCGCCUGACUAGCCAGACUGCCCACAAGGGGUAAAAGGGAAAGGCCCAGAGCCCUGCUUACAAGGAGGGCCCACGGCCAGCCAAAGGACACAGCUGUCCCCAGAGGCACAGUGACACCUGCACCCUGCUUACAGGGUGGUCCACAGCCCUGCAGAACCUAGCCCUUCACCGAGAGGCACGGGACUCACACCCUCGUUACAGGGCACGCCAGGGCUCCGGACAU